AGAGAGAGACAUGUGCGCAUAUCAAUAAGCGGAGGAAAAGAAACUAACAAGGAUUCCCCUAGUAACGGCGAGUGAGGCGGGAAGAGCUCAAAUUUGAAAUCUUAAAGGGUUUCCCUUUACGAAUUGUAGUUUAAAGAAGUGUUUUCUGUUGAGGUUUUGGUAAAAGUUCUUUGGAAUAGGACAUCAUAGAGGGUGAGAAUCCCGUAUUUGACCUUUACUUUCAACUUUGUGAUACACUUUCAAAGAGUCGGAUUGUUUGGGAAUGCAGUCCAAAAUGGGUGGUAAAUUUCAUCUAAAGCUAAAUAUUGGCGAGUAGACCGAUAGCGAACAAGUACCGUGAGGGAAAGAUGAAAAGAACUUUGAAAAGAGAGUUAAACAGUACGUGAAAUUGUCAAAAGGGAAGCGUUUGACACCAGUGUUGUUUUUCUGAAAAUCAAUUAAAGAACUGUUUAUGCUAAGUUGUUUAGACUUUAUCAGCUAACUGUUUAGUUUUGAGCUUUUCUUUAAUGCACUUUUCAGUUAACAAGUCAACAUCAAUUUCUUUUGCUGUAAAAAAGCUUGAGGAAGGUGGCUUGAGAUUCGUCUUAAGUGUUUAUAGCCUCUUGCCUAUGCAGUCGGAGAGAUUGAGGUCUGCAGCGUAGAUCCUUCGGGGCUAAAUGCAUUUGUGCUAAGUUAUAGCAUUUUAUAGACAACUUGUUGACUAUGAUUUGUCUUGUAGCUUACUCGCUUAUGUUAUUUUACCUACGCUUAGGAUGUUGAGCGCAUGUCUCUCUCU
rnacentral:rRNA from 1 species